rnacentral:rRNA from 1 species
UACGGGGGGAGCAAGCGCUGUUCGGAUUUACUGGGCGUAAAGGGCGCGUAGGCGGCCACCGCAAGUCGACUGUGAAAUCUCCGGGCUUAACCCGGAAAGGUCAGCCGAUACUGCGGGGCUAGAGUGCAGAAGGGGCAACUGGAAUUCUCGGUGUAGCGGUGAAAUGCGUAGAUAUCGAGAGGAACACCUGCGGCGAAGGCAAUCCCCUGGGCCUGCACUGACGCUCAUGCACGAAAGCGUGGGGAGCAAACAGG